UAGGCUGUUAACUGCUUCCAUAGUCUGC
rnacentral:piRNA from 1 species